AGAGGAACUCCUGCCAGGCCCUUUAUAGUAGCAGCAGCAGCAGUAGUUACUAGCAACAACAACAACAAAAAUUGACAAAUACUAUCACCUUUGAUUUCACAGCAGUCCCAUGAGGGAAGUAAUGAAACGGACUGUCCUAUUCAUACAUGUGCCUGUUCAGAGUCCCGAGCCAGACGAAGGAGAAAGCAAUGUGAUUGUCUGUAAAAUGGCCUGGCUUGGACCCUGCCUCACCAAUCCCCAGGAGCAAACAAGGAACGAGGAAAAGAUUCGCAAACUGCCUAAUUCAAAUCUGAAUCAGUUAGUGACUCUGAUUUGCUCUACUUUGGGAUCACUGGGGUGAGACUCCGAGCGCUGCCCAGUGCUAGGCUGGAGGAAGAGAUGGGGUUCAUCAGGUCUGUGCCCCCGUUGAUUCACAGGUAAGACCAGUGAGGAUCCAACAGGCAGGACUCAGGACCCUACCCAGAGCUCCCUCCACCUUGACAUCUGCGGGCAAGUCUCACCCAAUACCCUCCCUUUUCCUCUUAAGUCUAUUUGAAAGCCUUUCUCUCCCUAAAAGCCUCAAGCCCCAUCAGCUUCUCACACAGGCCAUUGACCCCUCUGCCCCACAGGCCCAGUGCUAGGGUGCUACGAGAAGACCUUAAAAAAAAUGGCACUGUCGUGGAUGCUGUGUUUUCCUAACUAGAUCUCCACGUCAGGACAACAGGGUUGUUUCCCCAGCUACUGGGAACAUCGUUGACUAAAGCCCUCAGCUGCUGGCUCUCUCUGGACAGCCCCCUCCCAGGGCAGAUGGCAGCCUGCCUCCAGCGACCGCCACCCCAAACCGGACAGCAUGAGGACCAUCCUUGCUCCGAGCUCUCUAUGCGGCUGCUGAGUCCAGCCUCUGUCCAGUGUGGCUCCUUCCCCUCCCCCAUGGGUGCUAGCCCAGCAUCUCCUCGAAUAAACCUCCCGCACACUAAUCACUCAUCAGAGCCUGCCACCAGAAGCCAACCGGCCACAGCCCCGAAAUAAAAACGAGGAGGUUUUAGCUAAUAAACGUUUAAAGGACAGUUUACAGAUGCCACUUAAGUCAACUCCAUUAAUUAUUCCCUUUCGUAUUAUGAGCAUCUAAAGUGUCAUUACCUCGAAUAAUAAUCUGUAGGUUACAAGUUCUCAGUUUACGUAAAUUCCCAGCCUCUAUGUAGUAGUUGCAGAGAAAUCUUAGCUAAUGGUAAAUUACGAUUUAUUGAUUUAUUGAUUUAUUUUGGCUUGCAGGAUCCUAGUUCCCCAACCAGGACCACUGCAGUGAAAGCACCAAGUGCUAACCACUGGACCACCAGGGAAUUCCAAAUAAUGGAAGCAUGUACGAGCUAUGAAGAUGUUAAAAAUGGCCUUGCCCUUUGGAAUAUAGAUGCUACAAGCAGAACAUAGAGAUGAAAGUCAAGAUAAUGCCAAGAUCUGGGGGCAAAGAAAGGAAACUGACCCACAGACCUACGUGUCACUCUAUGACUCAUGGUCCAGUUUGAAGUACUCACUGCCUCUCGGGGUUUCAUCCUCACUACCACCUCCCAUGUCCUCUCUCCAUUUUCUCCUUUCCCUUUCUAUUCUCACUCUCUCUGCUAGAGGCCUUCCUUGUCUGCAGGAAAGCAUGGCAAGGAGAAGAACCUAUGGUUUAAGGGGAGGAAACACAUUUUGCGCUAGUCUCUCUCCUUUCCAUGAAAGGCUUUUUCAUGAUGAUACCAACAUUGAGUUUCCUAUGUUCAUUACCCUUUCAGGCCCUUAUGACAAUUCCCCAAAUCUCUACAAAUAAAUGAGCUGAUUCACUUCUCCAAAAAUGCUUUGUCCCCACAAAUACUUAUUCAUGGGAGGAGGCUCUGGGGUUAGUCUGUUCCUCUCAGACUAUUUUGUUUAUUGAUUACUUUAUUGUGCUGAAUCGACAUUAGUAAGCAUUUGGGCCUCUGAUUUAUACUUUAUGCAACUUUGAAAGUCUAAUGAUUGGUACAGAGAACUCAAGGCUCUUGCGAUGUGGGUUCCCAUCACCAUGCUUACCUGAACCUGGACCAGCUGCCUCCCCUUCUCCCUCACCCCAUGUGGGGUGCCCAUGAGAGUGCAGGGAUCAAGGGGCACAGGGCCAAGAGGCUCUCAUCUGCCCAGGACACCCUCCAGGACCUGGUGGGGGCACCCUGAGGCUGGGCGAGCCAGGCCAGAGGAAGAGGAACAGGAUAGAGGCCUAGGCCUGAUCCUUGAGAAACUAAAAUCUUGUAGGCAGGAGCAUUCAACAAGAAAACCUACACCUGCUAUCAGUAAGUAGGUGAGGUCCUUUAAAAAAAAUAUGAGUCUGCAAGUGUGAAGGCAAUGAUUGGUGGAAAGUGGGGCAUCAAGAAGGAAACUAUACACACACACACACAUACACACACACACACCAUUCCAAUCGCACAACCCAAAUAAUCCCACAAGUAUUUAACUGCUGUAAAUAUUUCUUUAAUGUUGAAUCAUUAUGUUG